GUUUCUGUAGUGUAGUGGUUGCCACGUUUGCCUAAAGUGUAAAAAGUCCCUGGUUUGAAACCAGGCAGAAACA